UACAGAGGUCUCAAGCGUUGUUCGGAUUCAUUGGGCGUAAAGGGCGCGUAGGCGGUUGGAUAAGUCUUGUGUGAAAUCUUCGGGCUCAACUCGAAGUCUGCACGAGAAACUAUCUGGCUUGAGUGUGGGAGAGGUGAGUGGAAUUCCCAGUGUAGCGGUGAAAUGCGUAGAUAUUGGGAGGAACACCAGUGGCGAAGGCGGCUCACUGGACCGGUACUGACGCUGAUGCGCGAAAGCGUGGGAGCAAACGGG
rnacentral:rRNA from 1 species